rnacentral:rRNA from 1 species
UCGAUUAGCAUGCGAGUCGAGAGGUGCAAGACCUCGGCGCACUGCUCAGUAACACGUGGACAACCUACCCUGUGGAGGGGGAUAACCCCGGAAAACUGGGGAUAAUACCCCAUAGGUUAGGGUGGCUGGAAUGCCCCCUAGCUCAAAGGUCCGCCGCCACAGGAUGGGUCUGCGGCCGAUUAGGUUGUUGUUGGGGUAACGGCCCAACAAGCCUUUGAUCGGUACGGGUUGUGGGAGCAAGAGCCCGGAGAUGGAUUCUGAGACACGAAUCCAGGCCCUACGGGGCGCAGCAGGCGCGAAAACUUUACAAUGCGAGAAAUCGUGAUAAGGGAACCCCGAGUGCCCGUAAAUUCGGGCUGUCCGCCAGUGCAAAAAACUGGUGAAGA